AUUGAACGCUGGCGGCAUGCCUUACACAUGCAAGUCGAACGGUAACAGGUCUUCGGAUGCUAACGAGUGGCGAACGGGUGAGUAAUACAUCGGAACGUACCCGAUCGUGGGGGAUAACGAAGCGAAAGCUUUGCUAAUACCGCAUAAGAUCUACGGAUGAAAGCAGGGGACCGCAAGGCCUUGCGCGAACGGAGCGGCCGAUGGCAGAUUAGGUAGUUGGUGGGAUAAAAGCUUACCAAGCCGACGAUCUGUAGCUGGUCUGAGAGGACGACCAGCCACACUGGGACUGAGACACGGCCCAGACUCCUACGGGAGGCAGCAGUGGGGAAUUUUGGACAAUGGGCGAAAGCCUGAUCCAGCCAUGCCGCGUGCAGGAUGAAGGCCUUCGGGUUGUAAACUGCUUUUGUACGGAACGAAAAGACUCUUUCUAAUAAAGAGGGUCCAUGACGGUACCGUAAGAAUAAGCACCGGCUAACUACGUGCCAGCAGCCGCCGUAAAAC
rnacentral:rRNA from 1 species